AUGGCCUACCAAGGCGACGACGGGUAGCCGGCCUGAGAGGGCGACCGGCCACACUGGGACUGAGACACGGCCCAGACUCCUACGGGAGGCAGCAGUGGGGAAUAUUGCACAAUGGGCGAAAGCCUGAUGCAGCGACGCCGCGUGAGGGAUGACGGCCUUCGGGUUGUAAACCUCUUUCAGCAGGGAAGAAGCGAAAGUGACGGUACCUGCAGAAGAAGCGCCGGCUAACUACGUGCCAGCAGCCGCGGUAAUACGUAGGGCGCAAGCGUUGUCCGGAAUUAUUGGGCGUAAAGAGCUCGUAGGCGGCUUGUCACGUCGGAUGUGAAAGCCCGGGGCUUAACCCCGGGUCUGCAUUCGAUACGGGCUAGCUAGAGUGUGGUAGGGGAGAUCGGAAUUCCUGGUGUAGCGGUGAAAUGCGCAGAUAUCAGGAGGAACACCGGUGGCGAAGGCGGAUCUCUGGGCCAUUACUGACGCUGAGGAGCGAAAGCGUGGGGAGCGAACAGGAUUAGAUACCCUGGUAGUCCACGCCGUAAACGUUGGGAACUAGGUGUUGGCGACAUUCCACGUCGUCGGUGCCGCAG
rnacentral:rRNA from 1 species